rnacentral:rRNA from 1 species
UACGGAGGAUGCAAGCGUUAUCCGGAAUGAUUGGGAGUAAAGGGUUCGUAGGUGGCAAUGUAAGUAUGAUGUUAAAGAGUCUAGCUCAACUAGAUAAGAGCAGUGGAAACUACAUAGCUAGAGUACGUUCGGGGCAGAGGGAAUUCCUGGUGUAGCGGUGAAAUGCGUAGAGAUCAGGAAGAACACCGGUGGCGAAGGCGCUCUGCUAGGCCGUAACUGACACUGAGGGACGAAAGCUAGGGGAGCGAAUGGG